GAUGAACGCUGGCGGCGUGCCUAAUACAUGCAAGUCGAGCGAACAGACGAGGAGCUUGCUCCUCUGACGUUAGCGGCGGACGGGUGAGUAACACGUGGAUAACCUACCUAUAAGACUGGGAUAACUUCGGGAAACCGGAGCUAAUACCGGAUAAUAUAUUGAACCGCAUGGUUCAAUAGUGAAAGACGGUUUUGCUGUCACUUAUAGAUGGAUCCGCGCCGCAUUAGCUAGUUGGUAAGGUAACGGCUUACCAAGGCAACGAUGCGUAGCCGACCUGAGAGGGGGAUAGGCCACACUGGAACUGAGACACGGUCCAGACUCCUACGGGAGGCAGCAGUAGGGAAUCUUCCGCAAUGGGCGAAAGCCUGACGGAGCAACGCAGCGUGAGUGAUGAAGGUCUUCGGAUCGUAAAACUCUGUUAUUAGGGAAGAACAAAUGUGUAAGUAACUAUGCACGUCUUGACGGUACCUAAUCAGAAAGCCACGGCUAACUACGUG
rnacentral:rRNA from 1 species